rnacentral:tRNA from 1 species
GGAGAGAUGGCUCAGUGGUUAAGAGCACUGACUGCUCUUCCAGAGGUCCUGAGUUCAAUUCCCAGCAAUUAUA